GUGGGGAAUAUUGCGCAAUGGGCGAAAGCCUGACGCAGCGACGCCGCGUGGGGGAUGACGGCCUUCGGGUUGUAAACCUCUUUCGACCGGGACGAAGCGCAAGUGACGGUACCGGUAUAAGAAGCACCGGCCAACUACGUGCCAGCAGCCGCGGUAAUACGUAGGGUGCGAGCGUUGUCCGGAAUUAUUGGGCGUAAAGAGCUCGUAGGCGGUGUGUCACGUCGAUCGUGAAAACUUACAGCUUAACUGUGAGCGUGCGGUCGAUACGGGCAUCACUGGAGUUCGGCAGGGGAGACUGGAAUUCCUGGUGUAGCGGUGAAAUGCGCAGAUAUCAGGAGGAACACCGGUGGCGAAGGCGGGUCUCUGGGCCGAUACUGACGCUGAGGAGCGAAAGCGUGGGGAGCGAACAGGAUUAGAAACCCGAGUAGUCC
rnacentral:rRNA from 1 species